rnacentral:misc_RNA from 1 species
GUUCUAUUGUAGGUAGUUGAUCAUGUUUGAUACUGCUCAUAUUGCAUUUUUAUUUUAGAAAGUACAAUUGUUAGCAAAUACCCUCCUUCUUAAAGCAUAUUUUAUGUCUCUGUUUUCAUUAUGCAUCCCUAUGCAACAAACAUCUGUAUACUAUUAAUUAAGCAAAUCUGGCACUUGAUGUUAAAUUCUUAAUGUCUCAUCAUAAAAUCAUGAUGCUUCUUCUUACUGAAUUGUGGCUAUAACCACUUAAUGUUCCCCACUUACUUUGCCUUAUUGAUUAGUUAAUGGAGACACACUUUGAAGCUUAUCCUUGUAUUUCUACUCGCUUUUCUUGUCUCUCUUGUAUAUUUUCCUGUAUGCCAGGUGUCCUGUUUGUAUUAUUUGUAAUUCAUAUCAGCUAACAAACGUGCUUUUCUUUUCCUUUUUCUUUUGUAUCCUUCAGCAUUCUCCACAAAAGUAUUUCAUCCUUUUCUUUGUCCUAAUUUUCAACUAGGGUAUCCUAUUUUUUGAACUAUUGUCCUUUUCUUUUCAUUUGAUUGAUAUCCUGCUUUUAAAAUCAUUCACUUGAUUCUGGCUUUCUAGAAUUGUUUAGUUGAUCCCAGC